rnacentral:rRNA from 1 species
AGCAGCCGCGGUAAUUCCAGCUCCAAUAGCGUAUAUUAAAGUUGUUGCAGUUAAAAAGCUCGUAGUUGAAUUUCGGAAUCGACGGAUUGGUCGCGCCUUUGGUGUGUACUGGUCUUGCCGGUUUCUCCCUUCUGACGAACCACGAUGUCAUUAAUUUGGUGUCGUGGGGAAUCAGGACUGUUACUUUGAAAAAAUUAGAGUGUUUAAAGCAGGCAUUAGCUUGAAUACAUUAGCAUGGAAUAAUGAAAUAGGACGUUUGAUCUUAUUUUGUUGGUUUCUAGGAUCGACGUAAUGAUUAAUAGGGAUAGUUGGGGGCAUUAGUAUUCAAUUGUCAGAGGUGAAAUUCUUGGAUUUAUUGAAGACUAACUACUGCGAAAGCAUUUGCCAAGGAUGUUUUCAUUAAUCAAGAACGAAAGUUAGGGGAUCGAAGACGAUCAGAUACCGUCGUAGUCUUAACCAUAAACUAUGCCGACUAGGGAUCGGAUGAUGUUAAUUUUUAAUGACUCAUUCGGCGCCUUAA